CUAGGUGUAGCUUAGUGGCUAAAGCACGUGGUUUGGGACCACGGGGACGGGAGUUCGAAUCUCUCUACCUAGACCA
rnacentral:tRNA from 1 species